AGUUGUACUUGCAUCAUUUCAGUGAAUCAUCUGAUUCAUUUUGUGUUUUGACGCUCAGCAGCAGCACUUCCUCUAAGAGACGUUAUAAAGUUACACACAUCAAUCUGCACACAAGUUCAACCUGAACACGUUCAACAAGAUCACAGAAUGAAGACUCUGCUGCUUUCACUCCUCUGUGUGUUUGUGUGGUCUCAACACACAGAAGGUUUCACUGAUCAGCAGGUCACUUUAGGACAGAAUGUGACUGUCACCUGUGAGUUUGGAUUAAAAGCCGUUACUUGGUUUAUGAUAAAACCACUCGUUCGUUCAGUGAUGAUACUGCAGACUUUUGAAUCUGAAGAGCCUGAAUAUUAUGAUGAAAAAUUCCGCAACAAAUAUUCAGAGGGAAGCAGGAGCCAAUUAAUUAUUAAUACUGUCACUGUUGAUGAUUUAGGAAUUUAUUACUGUACAAAACCAGGCUGGAUGAUCAGUGAUGGUAUCAGACUGGACACCACUGACAUGACUCAAGAGGACAGUGAGGGAUCUGGAUCUGGAUCUGGAUCUGGAUCUGGACUGGACAAUGAGGUCUGACGUGAAGUUUCAUGAGCGUGACAGAAGAAUAACGUUCAUUCAGACCAACGGCUCUGUUGUUCCUCCUCAGAAUCCACUGACCGAUCAUGAAUAUAGAUUUACAGUCAUACUCUGCAUAUGAAAUAUAGCAACAUACUGACAGAUUGAUUGCUGUUUGAUUCUGUUGAUCAGUAUUGUGUGCUGCUUGAACAUGGAAUGAAAUAAUGACUCUCAAGAACUUUAAAACAUGUUUUGCUCUUGUCUAUUAAUAUUAAAGAAAUAUUAAAAUCUGCAAUUAAAAUGUCAAUCAAGUUUUAUAAUGACUAUAUUCAGAAUAAAUCAACUUUUUGAUUUUCAAUGGUUUGUUUUUGUCUCUUCCUGAGUUGCUAAAAUCAGAUCCAUUAAUUGAGUGGAAUGGGAUGCAGUGACAGUAAUUAGUCCUGAUUGCUCAUGUGAAAAUGAAACUCAAAUCUGUAUGUAACAAACGAGACUGAUGAUAACUUUUUUCGGUUAGCCUUCAUUAACCAGCUGAUUUGAGUCAUUUGAGUAUUAGUGCAAUUGUCAACACAUUAAUAAUGCUGUUUCACCAACACAGACCUUAAAUACUUAAAUACCUUACACUUCUGUUUCAAUACUUGUGUAAAUACUUCAGUUCCAGUUUAGCUACAUCUCCUUUUCAAGGGAGGGGUUUACUUUUACUUCUCAAGUUCUGCAGUACUUCUGCUCAGAUUCAUAAUCUUACUGCACAGAAUGAGGACUGUGCAGCUUGUACUCUUCAGUAAGUUUAAAGGGUUAGUUAACCCAAAAAUGAAAAUUCUGUCAUUUAUUACUCACGCUCAUGCCGUUCCACACCCGUAAGACCUUCGUUAAUCUUCGGAACGCAAAUUGAGAUAUUUUUGUUUAAAUCCGAUGGCUCCAUGAGGCCUACAUAGGGAGCAAUGACAUUUCCUCUCUCAAGAUCCAUAAAGGUACUAAAAACAUAUUUAAAUCAGUUCAUGUGAGUACAGUGGUUCAAUAUUAAUAUUAUAAAACGACGAGAAUAUUUUUGGUGCACCAAAAAAAAACCACUUAUUUAUUUAACGACUUAUUUAGUGAUGGCCGAUUUCAAAACACUGCUUCAGGAAGAUUCGGAACGUAAUGAAUCAGUGUGUCGAAUCCGCAGUUCGGAGCGCCAAAGUCACAUAAUUUCAGCAGUUUGGCGGUUUGACACGCGAUCCGAAUCAUGAUUCGACACGCUGAUUCAUUACGCUCUGAAUCUUCCUGAAGCAGUGUUUUGAAAUCGGCCAAAUCUCCUCCUUUCAGAACACCACUGUACGCCACUGCUAUACAUGAUCUAAAACCAUGCACAUAAUGUAUCAUAUUUGUAAUCUUUAUUUCUAUCAGAGGUCUACUGAUGCUUGUUUGAUGUUUCUAAACUCAAAACUCUUGUAUUUUCUGUUCUUAAAAGAAGCUGCUCGAGAUCAGAAUCAGACAGAAGUGAACAAUAACUCGCAAAGUCCGAAUGCACCGCAAGCUCUGAUAGUUUUAUACGCCAUACUGAACAUUGUUGAUGUUUUUGGCAAUAAUAGGCUCUAUGUGCAUCGAAUAAAAUAAUAUGUCAUAUAAAAUAUCUUUCUUUUAAACACUUCAUGCUACAUUCCUUUAGUUAUCAGCUGUAUAAUGUUUAAUCAGAAAUGUUGGUGGUAUUUUAGGCCUAUUGCAGAUCAAACUUCAAUUGCGCAAAAAAAGACAUCAACAAUGUCAAGAUGAGGAACUGAAACAGUUUUACCACGGAAAUGGUGACUUAUUCAAUCAAUCUGAAUGUGAACAUGAUGAAAAAUCUUUCUACAGACAUUAGAAGCUAAUUUAUGUUUUUUACAUCAUUCUAUAGUUUUCUGAAGUGGAGUUUCGUCUGUCCCACCCGACCAACAACACUUUCGUUCCUUUUCAAAAACCAAAGACAAAACCACAAACCUAAUCAAGAGUAAAUCAUCUCAUACAGUCUAAUAGAGAUAUACUGAGAGUAAAAUAUUGUUAGCUUGUUGAUUGUUGUUUGUUUUAGACUGACUGAUGUUUGUCACCUAAACAUGUGUGUACUGUAAAGCAAUAUAUAUCAUUAUAAAGUGUGUGUGUGUGUGUGUUAUUAUCUGGAUUGUAAGUUUAUGUGUUAAGAGUUUAUUAAUAUAUUUCAGUGUCAAUAAAAGGCCUUCUGCUGUAAGCCGUGUUGCUCAUUUGACUGAUCAAACUGGACGUGUGUAAUGCUGUAGAGAGAUGUGUGUUUAUCGUAUCUUCAUUGUCUCUCUGCAUUCAUCCGCUCUGAGAGAGAGUUUCUCACAGCUGUGGGUUAGUCGGCCUCAACUCUGCUCUGCUUUAUAUGUUAAGUUCAUGUACAGAGUCACACACUGUGGAAAACAUCAACGCAUGAGCCUUUUCUAUUUUUGUCUUCAUCUCUGUUCCACUCCAACGCUAUUAAGUGUGUUUGCUGGUGUCCUAUUUUUAUUCUGCAGUAGCAUUUCUGCUCAGAUUCAUAGUAAAAUAUUUUACUGCGUAUAAAUUGAACAACCACAGAAUGCAGCUUUUACUCUUCGGUAAGUUUAAGUUACUCAAUGUAAUUUCACUGUGAUCUUCACAUGAUUAGAUUGUUUUCAAGAGCGAAGAAUUAUGUGUUUUACUAGAUGUGUUUUAUCUCCACAGUUCUGCUGGUGUGUCAAACCACAGAGAGUUUAACUGAUAAACAGGUGAAUUUAGGGCAAAACGUUACUUUAGACUGUCAGAUUGAUGUGAUAGAUAUUUAUUGGGUUUUCCAGAAACUGACGGAUUCUCCAGCGCUGAUUCUGUGAACUUUCUCAUCAAAAUCUACAUCAUCUCUUAUACAAGAUGAAAGAUUUAAAGACAAAUAUUCAUCACUAACUUUGAGCAGGUUAUUUAUUAAUAACAUAACUAUUGAUGAAUUAGGAAUAUAUUAUUGUGCAAAAAAAACUGUCUCAGGCCUACAGCUCAGCAAUGGCGCCAGACUUUACAUCACUGAAUCAGAAUCAGAUCAGAAUCAGACAGAAGUGAAAAAUAACUCACAAUGUUCGAAUACUCUGCAAGCUCUGAUAGUUUUAUACGUCAUACUGAACAUUGUGAUGUUUUUGGUAAUAAUAGACCUACUGCAGAUCAAACUUCAUAUGUGUAAGAAAAGACACAAACAAUGUCAAGACGAGGAACUGGAGCAGCUUUACAGCACAAAUGCUGAAGAGUUUUCUGAAGUGGAGUUUCGUCUGUCCUGUCCGACCAACAACACUUUUGGAAAAAAACCUAGACAAACCUGAUCAAUUGUUUAAUAUUGACUGAUGUUUUAGAUUGUUUGUAUAAACAUAAAUGUAAUUCAAAAUUGUUCAUAUCUUUUCAGCAUUGCUACUCUUUGUUUUGUUUUUCUUGAUAAGUAAAUCUGUAGUAAAUUUCUGUAAUAAGUUGUUUUUGAUUUUUUUGAGUGUUUUUUAUAACUCACAAAGACGGAAAAUGGUAAAAAGCAAAGCUAAAUAUGUAUCGGCCUACAGCAUAUACAGGGCUGUAGCCUUUGCUUCAUUGAAGUGUUAGAGGCCUCAGAUCAAAAUGUAUUAGUACACAGAAAAAUAUUGCUCACAUUUUUAUUUUCAGUAAUAUAUUACUAUUAUAAAUACAUGAGAAUACAUUAAAGGAUUAUUUCAACUAUUCUGCUAAAUAAUGAGAAUAAA